rnacentral:rRNA from 1 species
AGCGCCUUCCAGCCAUGUGGGAGGUGCAGCGCACAGCUCAGUAACACGUGGCUAACCUGCCCUUGGGACGAAAACAACCCCGGGAAACUGGGGCUAAUUCUCGAUAGGUGGAGAACUCUGGAAUGAGUCUUUGCCUAAAAGGUGUCGGAUCAUGCUUUCGGCAUCGCCCAAGGAUGGGGCCGCGACCGAUCAGGUAGUUGGUGAGGUAAUGGCUCACCAAGCCUUUUACCGGUGCGGGCCGUGAGAGCGGGAGCCCGGAGAUGGGCACUGAGACAAGGGCCCAGGUCCUACGGGGCGCAGCAGUCGCGAAACCUUUGCAAUACACGCAAGUGUGACAGGGUCAUCCCGAGUGCCGACCGCUGAGGUUGGCUUUUACCCAGUCUAGAAAGCUGGGGGAAUAAGGAGAGGGCAAGUCUGGUGUCAGCCGCCGCGGUAAUACCAGCUCUCCGAGUGGUGUGGACGUUUAUUGGGCCUAAAGCAUCCGUAGCUGGCUGAGCAAGUCCCCUGUUAAACCCACCGAUUUAAUCGUUGGCGUGCGGGGGAUACUGUUCGGCUAGGGGACGAGAGAGGCAGGCGGUAUUCCCGGGGUAGGGGUGAAAUCCUAUAAUCCCGAGAAGACCACCAGUGGCGAA